rnacentral:lncRNA from 1 species
AACGUUUAGUAUGAUAGAUUGCUGACAAACUCAGCAUGGUGAUGUAUAGAAAUUGAAGACUUUGAUAUACAUACAAUUAUCACCCACGGGUCCUGUCUCUCUUUUGGUUGAAAAAAGGCAUUCAAGUAGCCUGAAUGGUUUAGCCCAAGAAUCCACCCGGUCUACAUGGAUCAACCUACAUGGCAGUUCCUCACUGAACAGUAAAAUACCCCUGUCAAAGCUUUACUUCAGCUAUAGGCCUACCCCUUUCGGUUGUUACUACGAGAAAAUGAGAUCGCAUCUUAUGUCAGUCUCGCCAAUCUUUAAUUCAUCAUCGUGGAGUUGUACAAAUGUACAGCAAACAAGAUGUCUCUUUGCACAUCCAUUAAUACUGCAAAAGAAUUCUUUGUUGAUUAAAGAAGAAGUCCAAUAUCGGCAUCAAUCUGCAGAAUAAUCCAACUUGUCGCAGUAAGUGAUGAUUGGAUUUUCCUUAUGGCGACGUGAAGUAAUAGGACGAAGGUAGGAUUCGAAUUCGUCCACCAGGGGGUGCGCAGAUGUGGCAAAACCACGUCAUUCGUCUUCGGGGCGUCUAUGGUGUUGUAUGACUUUGUAUGACGCUGGCUGUAUCCAAACUAUCCAUUACGUCGAAUUUCCAACAUUUUCCAUCAUGGAGAUGGAAAGGUGAUUUGUCGGUGGAGUGGAGUUCUUCUGUCUUUGGAGUUUUACGGUCGCCAUACCGGCGGAUUGUCCCCCCAUCCGCCAGGUGACGCGGGAGUCUUCGUGAGGAAGAAAUAUUUGCCAUUUGUUUGUUGUUUGAUUGUUUCCGAGACGCUGAUGCAUGUUCCGUAUUCUAAAUUCAUUACGGAAUUGAGGUGUCGAUCUACAUUCUCAGCCAAAUGUAAUUGGCAAGCUGGCAUAUAAUUUCACUUGGCCAAAUGUGAUGACGUGGGUCGAAACUGCUGCGCAUUUUGUCGAAAUGUUGGCCAUUGUUAGACACGUCUCAUCUCGUGCAGAAGCACUUCAGAGCUAGUAAAGUCAAAGAUGGAGAUCCCUUUGCUCAACUGUUUCAGAAAUUUAGAACACAACAAAGUCUGAGCUUCAUGGCUGUAGUAUCAUUAAUGUCAUUUUCUUGCAGCCAGCUGGUGAAAAGUGUAAUAGAGUCCUGUUGAGCUGCAGCUGCCGCAUGCAUUUAUUGAGCUGGUGUUAUUCCAAGUGUCGCUGCACAAAAACUUAGUAUGUAAAAAAAGUAUGUUAACUUAUAAGACUACCUCAAUUCUUUCCCCUCAUUGAGUGAUGCCCAAGCCAGAAUUGUAACACUCCAGGUGAAAUUGAGCUCUUUGAAAUUGGACAACCAUGCCAAGGAUAAAUUCCUCUGUUUCCUGUACCGGCUGUACGUUUUUUAAGAAACACUUCAGAACUAUUCAGAAAUAUCAGUCUAGUAAAAGUAUGAGCUUCUUUGUUGCUGCCCAACGUACAUAUGGAUUUGAUGCAGCCAGCUGAGGGCUUUAACUCGUGUUAAGUGUUUUAUGUUCGCGUAGUUGCUGUCCGAUGUGGCACGUUGUUGAAGCCUAUGCUGGUGAAGGAUCUUUCUACAUCAAGUUCAAUUGGCCGUUCCUUGGUGCUGAUGUUGUGUUACCGAAGUUGCAUCAUAUUUUGUUAAAUUGUCAUCGUGACUAUUGCAGUUUACCGUUUAUAAGUGUAGAAGCAACAAAAACAAAUAUGGGAUGUUCAUGUCAAACAAAUAAUAAACAUGUUUUUGGGGUUGGGAAAGGAAAGUGGUGGAUGUUGGAGGAGGAGGGAGGAAAUUUCAAGUUUGGAUAAAAAUUCAGUUAAUCUCUAACCCUACAAACGUAUCCCUACCAAUUAAUCUCCUAACCCCACAAACAUAUACCUUCCAAUCCUUCAAACCCCGAAAACAUACACCUACUAACCCUUAAAUCUAUACCCUUAACCCUAUAAACCAAUGUUAACCCUUAACCAUGUAAUAUCUGUAAUAAAUAAAAAAAAGUACACUACAUGAAAUAAUUUU